rnacentral:rRNA from 1 species
CGCGUAGGCGGAUGUUACAGUCAGGCGUGAAAUUCCUGGGCUCAACCCGGGGGCUGCGUUUGAUACGUGAUGUCUGGAGUUCGGAAGAGGGUCGUGGAAUUCCCAGUGUAGAGGUGAAAUUCGUAGAUAUUGGGAAGAACACCGGUGGCGAAGGCGGCGACCUGGUCCGAUACUGACGCUGAGGCGCGAAAGCGUGGGGAGCAAACAGGAUUAGAUACCCUGGUAGUCCACGCUGUAAACGAUGUGCGCUGGAUGUUGGGUGACAUAGUCAUUCAGUGUCGUAGCUAACGCGAUAAGCGCACCGCCUGGGGAGUACGGCCGCAAGGUUGAA